AAUUCGCGCCAGAAGCCCAGGGAUCCGGCAGGGCGCGGGAAUUGGGAGCGACCGAGUCCCGCAGCAGAGAGCGGGCCGGGAGGGACGCGAGACUGAGGAUGCAGCCCCUGAUUUAAAUGCACACCCGAGGGUGCGUCAGAACCCAGGCGCGAACAUCAAACGUGUGGCCAGACUAAUUGACACAUCUCCAUUUGAUGGUGCUGUCACUUUUCAUCUCUUUCUUAGCAAAGGCCAACAUCAAUUUUUACUUCGGCCCAGAAACGUGCUCCGUUUUCCAUGAAGACCAAGACGCUGCCCCCGUUCCUCCUUUUCGUGGAUUGGAGUCAGGACACCUGGGUCUCAUCCAUGUUCUGCAAUGAAUUUCCCUGGUGAGUAC